rnacentral:lncRNA from 1 species
CAAGCCUUGGCCAGGGUGGUCCAAGGUGCUUCCAGAGGGACUUCAGGCACAUCCAACGUGGUCCAGUGUGGUCUAAGGCUUGUCUGGUGGGACCUGAGGCACAUCCAGGGUGAUCCAGUCACCCAAGGCUUCUCCAGAGGGACCUGAGGCACGUCCAGGGUGGUCCAAGGCUCGUCCAGAGGGACCUGAGGCACAUCCAGCGUGAUCCAGAGUCACCCAGGGCUUCUCCAGUGGGACCUGAGGCACAUCCAGCGUGAUCCAGAGUCACCCAAGGCUCGUCCAGAGGGACCUGAGGCACGUCUGGUGGGACCUGAGGCACGUCCAGUGUGGCCCAAGGCUUGUCCAGAGUCACCCAAGGCUCAUCCAGUGGGACCUGAGGCACAUCCAGGGUGGCCCAAGGCUUGUCCGGGGUGGCCCAAGGCUCGUCCAGUGGGACCUGAGGCACGUCCAGUGUGGUCCAAGGCUCAUCCAGAGGGACCUGAGGCACAUCCAGCAUGAUCCAGAGUCACCCAAGGCUUCUCCAGAGGGACCUGAGGCAUGUCCAGCGUGAUCCAAGGCUCGUCCAGAGGGACCUGAGGCACAUCCUCAGGGUGGCCAGGGUGGUCCAAACCUUGGCCAGGGUGGCCCAAGCCUUGGCCAGGGUGGUCCAAGGCACUUCCAGAGGGACCUAAGGCACGUCCAGCGUGAUCCAGAGUCGCCCAAGCCUUGGCCAGGGUGGUCCAAGGCGCUUCCAGUGGGACUUCAGGCACAUCCAGCGUGGUCCAGUGUGGCCCAAGGCUCAUCCAGAGGGACCUGAGGCACGUCCAGUGUGAUCCAGUGUGGCCCAAGGCUUGUCCAGGGUGGCCCAAGGCUUGUCCAGGGUGGUCCAAGGCUCAUCCAGUGGGACCUGAGGCAUGUCCAGUGUGAUCCAGGGUGGCCCAAGCCUUGGCCAGGGUUGUCCAAACCUUGGCCAGGGUGGCCCAGGGCUUGGCCAGUAGGACCUGAGGCACAUCCAGCGUGGUCCAGAGUAGCCCAAGCCUUGGCCAGGGUGGCCCAAGGCUCAUCCAGAGGGACCUGAGGCACAUCCAGUGUGGUCCAGGGUGGCCCAAGGCACUUCCAGAGGGACCUGAGGCACGUCCAGUGUGAUCCAGUGUGGCCCAAGGCUCGUCCAGGGUGGCCCAAGGCUCAUCCAGGGUGGUCCAAGGCUUGUCCAGGGUGGUCCAAGGCUCAUCCAGAGGGAACCUGUGGCACGUCCAGCGUGGUCCGGAGUCGCCCAAGGCUCGUCCAGCACAUCCCAAGGCUCAUCCAGCACAUCCCAAGGCUCGUCCAGGCUGACCCGAAGCCCGUCCCAUCAGCCCCAGGUUGAUCCAGGGUGGUCCGUGGUAGCCCAGGGCUCGUCUGGUCUGGCCCAGCGAGGCCGGGGGCUCAUCCAGGAGAUCCCAACACUCAUCCCAGGAGAUCCCAACACU